rnacentral:rRNA from 1 species
GAGAGUUAAACAGUACGUGAAAUUGUUGAAAGGGAAACGAUUGAAGUCAGUCAUACUAACGGGAAAUCAACCUCUUGAGUUUGGUCUCGUGGGUUUUGAAGAGUUUAAAAGCCUUCGGAUUUUCGAGAUUGGAUUCUUCUGGUGUACUUUCUCGUACGGUUAGUCAACAUCGGUUUUGAAUGUCAUAAAAUGACUGGAGGAAUGUGGCUUCGAUCUCGUAUUGAAGUGUUAUAGCCUUUGGUAGAUGUGAUGUUCGAGACCGAGGAUUGCAACGGAUACCCUUCUGGGCUAUUCGUCUGAUCUCUGAAACGUUGCCUUGAUGUCGAAAGCUUGCUUAUGAUGUUAGGGUAUUACGGUCAAAAGGUUAGAACGGAUUAAAUUCGUUAAGGAUGUUGACGUAAUGACUUUAAACGA